UACGAAGGGGCUAGCGUUGCUCGGAAUCACUGGGCGUAAAGCGCACGUAGGCGGAUUCUUAAGUCGGUGGUGAAAUCCUGGAGCUCAACUCCAGAACUGCCUUCGAUACUGGGAAGCUCGAGUCCGGGAGAGGUGAGUGGAACUGCGAGUGUAGAGGUGAAAUUCGUAGAUAUUCGGAAGAACACCAGUGGCGAAGGCGACUCACUGGACACGUAUUGACGCUGAGGUGCGAAAGCGUGGGGAGCAAACAGG
rnacentral:rRNA from 1 species